rnacentral:lncRNA from 1 species
AUGGUAAGAAUAGCACUUGGGCGCCAUUCGUAGCUUUAUUCGAUGAUGAGCAGCUUAUAGAAUUCGAGUCAAGGUGGAGAUUGUUGAGUAGUGGCUCUCAUAUAAGAAAGCUUCUUAAAGCUUCUUUACCAAGCUUCUACACAACUUGCUUGCCAAGCUUUUUCAAGCCUUAAUCUCCAAGCUUUCAAGGCUUGGUCUCCAAGGUUCUUCUACAAACCAUUUGCCUAUAAAAGGUCAGCCCUAUGAAGUGCAAAAUGUGCAUCACAAGCUUAACAAC